rnacentral:rRNA from 1 species
GAUGAACGCUAGCGGCAGGCUUAAUACAUGCAAGUCGAGGGGUAGCAAGAUUGUAGCAAUACAAUUGUUGACGACCGGCAAACGGGUGCGGAACACGUACACAACCUUCCUACAAGUGGGGAAUAGCCCAGAGAAAUUUGGAUUAAUACCCCGUAACAUAGCGAUGUGGCAUCACAUUGCUAUUAUAGCUUCGGCGCUUGUUGAUGGGUGUGCGGCUGAUUAGAUAGUUGGCGGGGUAACGGCCCACCAAGUCUACGAUCAGUAGCUGAUGUGAGAGGAUGAUCAGCCAAACGGGAAAUGGGACACGGGCCGGACUCCUACGGGAGGCAGCAGUAAGGAAUAUUGGACAAUGGACGCAAGUCUGAUCCAGCCAUGCCGCGUGAAGGAUUAAGGUCCUCUGGAUUGUAAACUUCUUUUAUAAGGGACGAAAAAAGGUCUUUCUAGAUCGUCUGACGGUACCUUAUGAAUAAGCACCGGCUAACUCCGUGCCAGCCGCCGCCGUAAAAC